rnacentral:lncRNA from 1 species
GUGGAUUGAAAUUUCUGGAAGUAGUAAAGGGAGGGUUUAUGGUUUUGGAUCUUCUGAUAUUGCAAAAUCAGGAACUCCAACUACCUCUUUCUCAUGCACAUCAGCUCAUCUUGGAAGACCUUCUCAAACUAUGUUUUCUUUAGAGGAGGUUGAAUAAAUAUUAGAGUAAAACCGGAUCAAAAAUGAAACAAGACAUGGAGCAAAUGCAAGAGCAAAUGCGAGUGCAGAUAGAAAAGCAAAUAAAAGAUCAGAUGAAAUCAUUGAAGAACAAAAAAAGAUCUUCACCGCAUAACACAACUGCAG